CCUACGGGAGGCAGCAGUGGGGAAUAUUGCACAAUGGGGGAAACCCUGAUGCAGCGACGCCGCGUGAGUGAAGAAGUAUCUCGGUACGUAAAGCUCUAUCAGCAGGGAAGAAAAUGACGGUACCUGACUAAGAAGCCCCGGGUAACUACGUGCCAGCAGCCGCGGUAAUACGUAGGGGGCAAGCGUUAUCCGGAUUUACUGGGUGUAAAGGGAGCGUAGACGGCAGCACAAGUCUGGAGUGAAAUCCCGGGGCUUAACCCCGGAACUGCUUUGGAAACUGUGCGGCUGGAGUGCAGGAGGGGUAUGCGGAAUGCGUGGUGUAGCGGUGAAAUGCAUAGAUAUUAGGAAGAACACCGAUGGCGAAGGCAGCAUACUGGAGCUCAACUGACGUGGAUGCUCGAAAGUGUGGGUAGCGAACAGGAUUAGAUACCCUAGUAGUC
rnacentral:rRNA from 1 species